UGACUGGGAAACAUGGCUCAGAUUGAACGCUGGCGGCAGGCUUAACACAUGCAAGUCGAGCGGGCGAGGUUGCUUCGGUAACUUAGCUAGCGGCGGACGGGUGAGUAAAGCUUAGGAAUCUGCCUAUUAGUGGGGGACAACAUUCCGAAAGGGAUGCUAAUACCGCAUACGUCCUACGGGAGAAAGCAGGGGAUCACUUGUGACCUUGCGCUAAUAGAUGAGCCUAAGUCGGAUUAGCUAGUUGGUGGGGUAAAGGCCUACCAAGGCGACGAUCUGUAGCGGGUCUGAGAGGAUGAUCCGCCACACUGGGACUGAGACACGGCCCAGACUCCUACGGGAGGCAGCAGUGGGGAAUAUUGGACAAUGGGGGGAACCCUGAUCCAGCCAUGCCGCGUGUGUGAAGAAGGCCUUUUGGUUGUAAAGCACUUUAAGUGGGGAGGAGGCUCUCUUGGUUAAUACCUAAGAAGAGUGGACGUUACCCACAGAAUAAGCACCGGCUAACUCUGUGCCAGCAGCCGCGGUAAUACAGAGGGUGCGAGCGUUAAUCGGAUUUACUGGGCGUAAAGCGCGCGUAGGUGGUUAAUUAAGUCAAAUGUGAAAUCCCCGAGCUUAACUUGGGAAUUGCAUUCGAUACUGGUUAGCUAGAGUAUGGGAGAGGAUGGUAGAAUUCCAGGUGUAGCGGUGAAAUGCGUAGAGAUCUGGAGGAAUACCGAUGGCGAAGGCAGCCAUCUGGCCUAAUACUGACACUGAGGUGCGAAAGCAUGGGGAGCAAACAGGAUUAGAUACCCUGGUAGUCCAUGCCGUAAACGAUGUCUACUAGCCGUUGGGGCCUUUGAGGCUUUAGUGGCGCAGCUAACGCGAUAAGUAGACCGCCU
rnacentral:rRNA from 1 species